rnacentral:rRNA from 1 species
UACGGAGGAUGCGAGCGUUAUCCGGAUUUAUUGGGUGUAAAGGGCGUGUAGGCGGGAAAGCAAGUCAGAUGUGAAAACUCAGGGCUCAACCCUGAGCCUGCAUUUGAAACUGUUUUUCUUGAGUGCUGGAGAGGCAAUCGGAAUUCCGUGUGUAGCGGUGAAAUGCGUAGAUAUACGGAGGAACACCAGUGGCGAAGGCGGAUUGCUGGACAGUAACUGACGCUGAGGCGCGAAAGCGUGGGGAGCAAACAGG